UACGUAGGCAGCAAGCGUUGUUCGGAAUUACUGGGCGUAAAGAGUGUGUAGGCGGUGCUCUAAGUUCGGUGUGAAAUCUCCCGCUUAACUGGGAGGGUGCGCCGGAAACUGGAGUGCUCGAACGUGGGAGAGGAAAGCGGAAUUCCUGGUGUAGCGGUGAAAUGCGUAGAUAUCAGGAGGAACACCUGCGGUGUAGACGGCUUUCUGGACCAUUGUUGACGCUGAGACACGAAAGCGUGGGUAGCAAACAGG
rnacentral:rRNA from 1 species